UACAGAGGGGGCGAGCGUUGUUCGGAAUUACUGGGCGUAAAGGGCGCGUAGGCGGCCUCUUAAGUCGAACGUGAAAUCCCCGGGCUCAACCCGGGAACUGCGUCCGAUACUGGGGGGCUUGAAUCCGGGAGAGGGAUGUGGAAUUCCAGGUGUAGCGGUGAAAUGCGUAGAUAUCUGGAGGAACACCGGUGGCGAAGGCGGCCCCCUGGGCUGGUACUGACGCUGAUGCGCGAAAGCGUGGGUAGCAAACGGG
rnacentral:rRNA from 1 species